GAUGAACGCUAGCGGCAGGCUUAAUACAUGCAAGUCGAGGGGCAGCACAGGUAGCAAUACUGGGUGGCGACCGGCAAACGGGUGCGGAACGCGUACACAACUUACCUGAGAGUGGGGGAUAGCCCAGGGAAACUUGGAUUAAUACCCCAUAAAACAGGGGGCCCGCAUGGGCAUAUUGUUAAAGAUUUAUCGCUUUAAGAUGGGUGUGCGUAUGAUUAGGUAGUUGGUAGGGUAAAGGCCUACCAAGCCGACGAUCAUUAACUGGUGUGAGAGCACGACCAGUCACACGGGCACUGAGACACGGGCCCGACUCCUACGGGAGGCAGCAGUAAGGAAUAUUGGUCAAUGGACGGAAGUCUGAACCAGCCAUGCCGCGUGAAGGAUGAAGGUCCUCUGGAUUGUAAACUUCUUUUAUAGGGGGCGAAAAAGGGCCAUUCUUGGUCAACUGACGGUACCCUAUGAAUAAGCACCGGCUAACUCCGUGCCAGCCGCCGCCGUAAGAC
rnacentral:rRNA from 1 species